rnacentral:rRNA from 1 species
AUUGAACGCUGGCGGCAGGCCUAACACAUGCAAGUCGAACGAGGGGCGGACGGGUGAGUAAUGUCUGGGAAACUGCCCGAUGGAGGGGGAUAACUACUGGAAACGGUAGCUAAUACCGCAUACCAUCGGAGGUGCCCAGAGGGGAUUGGCUAGUAGGUGGGGUAACGGCUCACAUAGGCGACGAUCCCUAGCUGGGCUGAGAGGAUGACCAGCCACACGGUAACUGAGACACGGUGCAGACUCCUACGGGAGGCAGCAGUGGGGAAUAUUGCACAAUGGGCGCAAGCCUGAUGCAGCCAUGCCGCGUGUAUGAAGAAGGCCUUCGGGUUGUAAAGUACUUUCAGCGGGGAGGCGUUACCCGCAGAAGAAGCACCGGCUAACUCCGUGCCAGCAGCCGCGGUAAUAC